rnacentral:rRNA from 1 species
GACGAACGCUGGCGGCGUGCCUAACACAUGCAAGUCGAGCGAAGAAUACAUAAAGAAAUCUUCGGAUGGAAUUAUGUAUUUCUUAGCGGCGGACGGGUGAGUAACGCGUGAGGAACCUGCCUUGUACUAGGGGGAUAGCCUCGGGAAACCGGGAUUAAUACCCUAUGACACUUGAAAGUCGCAUGACUUUCAAGUCAAAGCGAUUUAGCGGUACAAGAUGGCCUCGCGUCCCAUUAGCUAGUUGGCGAGGUAAUAGCUCACCAAGGCGACGAUGGGUAGCCGGCCUGAGAGGGUGAACGGCCACACUGGAACUGAGACACGGUCCAGACUCCUACGGGAGGCAGCAGUGGGGAAUAUUGCACAAUGGAGGGAAACUCUGAUGCAGCGACGCCCGCGUGAGCGAUGAAGGUUUUCGAAUCGUAAAGCUCUGUCCUAAGGGACGAUAAUGACGGUACCUUAGGAGGAAGCCCCGGCUAACUACGUGCCCAGCAGCCGCGGUAAU